rnacentral:rRNA from 1 species
AUACGACCGUACCGCAAACCGACACUGGUGCCGAGAUGAGUAUUCUAAGGCGCUUGAGAGAACUCAGGAGAAGGAACUCGGCAAAUUGACACCGUAACUUCGGAAGAAGGUGUGCCCUAUUAGUGUGUAGUGAACAACGAAGCAUGAAUGGGUUGCAAAAAAUCGGUGGCUGCGACUGUUUAUUAAAAACACAGCACUCUGCAAACACGAAAGUGGACGUAUAGGGUGUGACGCCUGCCCGGUGCUGGAAGAUUAAAUGAUGGGGUGCAAGCUCUUGAUUGAAGUCCCAGUAAACGGCGGCCGUAACAAUAACGGUCCUAAGGUAGCGAAAUUCCUUGUCGGGUAAGUUCCGACCUGCACGAAUGGCGUAACGAUGGCCACACUGUCUCCUCCUGAGACUCAGCGAAGUUGAAAUGUUUGUGAUGAUGCAAUCUCCCCGCGGAAAGACGGAAAGACCCCAUGAACCUUUACUGUAGCUUUGUAUUGGACUUUGAACAGAUCUGUGUAGGAUAGGUGGGAGGCUUUGAAGCAGGGUCGCUAGAUCUUGUGGAGCCAACGUUGAAAUACCACCCUGGUGUGUUUGAGGUUCUAACCUAGGUCCAUUAUCUGGAUCGGGGACAGUGCAUGGUGGGCAGUUUGACUGGGGCGGUCUCCUCCCAAAGCGUAACGGAGGAGUUCGAAGGUACGCUAGUUACGGUCGGACAUCGUGACGAUAGUGCAAUGGCAUAAGCGUGCUUAACUGCGAGACUGACAAGUCGAGCAGAUGCGAAAGCAGGACAUAGUGAUCCGGUGGUUCUGUAUGGAAGGGCCAUCGCUCAACGGAUAAAAGGUACUCUGGGGAUAACAGGCUGAUACCGCCCAAGAGUUCAUAUCGACGGCGGUGUUUGGCACCUCGAUGUCGGCUCAUCUCAUCCUGGGGCUGUAGCCGGUCCCAAGGGUAUGGCUGUUCGCCAUUUAAAGAGGUACGUGAGCUGGGUUUAAAACGUCGUGAGACAGUUUGGUCCCUAUCUUCCGUGGGCGCUGCAGAUUUGAGGAAGCCUGCUCCUAGUACGAGAGGACCGGAGUGGACACACCUCUGGUGUAUCGGUUGUCACGCCAGUGGCAUUGCCGAGUAGCUAAGUGUGGAAGAGAUAACCGCUGAAAGCAUCUAAGCGGGAAACUCGUUUCAAGAUGAGAUCUGCCGGGGCCUUGAGCCCCCUAAAGAGUCGUUCAAGACCAGGACGUUGAUAGGUCAGGUGUGGAAGCGAAAAGAAAAG